CCAACCGCAGCGGGAGGCUGCGAGCAGGAGCGGAGCUGCAGCCAUGGCCGAGGGCAGGAGCGGCGGGGCCGGGCUCUUUGCCAGGCAGGUGCAGAAGCGCUUCAGCCGGGCGCAGGAGAAGGUGUUGCAGAAGUUGGGCAAAACAGUAGAGACCAAGGACGAGCAGUUCGAGCAGAGUGCCUACAACUUCCAGCUGCAGCAGAAUGAAGGCAACAAACUCUACAAAGACCUCAAGGCCUUCCUCGGUGCAGUGAAAG